ACACUCUCUAGCGGUGGAUCACUCGGCUCGUGCGU
rnacentral:rRNA from 1 species